UAUUGCUUCGAGUAUCGAUGGAUCUCUCUGUCUAAAAGAACGCAGCUUGUAGGUUUAAUGUGCACACUUUAACAUCUUCGCUGCUCAGACACUAAUGUGUUUAUACAAGUUUAGAUUGGGGAAUGUCUUUUUUUUAUGUGGAAAGAGGUUAAUGGCUCUUGUAUUUAUGUUAGCAUAAAAGCAGUCUCGCUUGCUUGCUUCUUCAGUAAAUGAGCAGUAUCAGCGGUCUGUGUGUUGUGGCACAUGCGCAUUCCGCGUCUCCCUCCGCUGUGGAUACAACCAGAGGACCCACAGAUAGCGCACUCCAGACACGCUCCCGCGCUCAUCAAGCGGACCACACCCACUCCCCGCCGCAGCCGGCCGCAGUCCACGCCUGACACACCUGUGACUGAUGACGUGAGGCUGCAUAAAGGGACCAGUGGACCAAGGAUCGGCGCGGGAACUUAGUUCUCAAUUGACGUUCAUACCCUCCGUCAUCUUUAAGAUGUUUUUUGUUAACUUCAUUGUGGAGAGGCGGAGCUGACAAGCCGACAGCGGGACAGGGCGAAUGGUUGUCCUGACCAAGAUGGCGGCCAGGAGGCGGGGCAUGCAGCAGAGCGGAGAGGCGGGGCACGCCUGGAGCAACACUGCAGCAAUCAGCGUCAGGUGCGUACACAACACAGCUGCGCUCAAUCAUUACAUCUUCUG